CAAGAACAGAGUGAAGACUCGUACAAAGAAAAUUCACUGUAUAAACAUCCUGCCCAAGAAAGGAAGGUUCGCCCUUACUCCAUCUGCAGGAUCUAUCUGUUAUUAUUUUAGCAUUGUCAGAUUAAACAGUAAGAUGGCCAAAGGCAGGUUCUCCUUCCCACAGCAUUCUGGGACUGGUACAGCUGCCUAAGAUGACUGACAAGAGAGCUCCCUGGAUAACCAAGGAUGUUGCAUAUAUGAGGAAGAAAAGGAAUGGCUGGCAUCAAAAAGGGCGGCUAAAAGAAUCAAGACUUGAGGUGUCAUCAGUGACAGAAGGGAGAUAGGAUGGCUGCUCCAUCUCUGCUAUGAUCAUGCUAACAUCUAAGUACUGUGGUUGCUCCCUCUUUUUAGGAGUCAUGGAACUGAAGAGCUAGAUUCAACACAGCUCUCCAAGCUGGUGACUGCAAUGCUCGGUGUCCUGUUUUGCUGUUGUUGCCUCUACUGGCAUCUGCAGCAAGCCCAGGAGACAGCAGACACAAAUUUAAUCAACCAAAAAUUUUGAAGUUAGUAAGAAGUGUUUUGGAGAAAGAUCAUAAAGUGGAUCAAACCCUCUAUCAGAGAUUUGGUACUGACAGUCACCAGGGCCAAGCAGGUUGCAUCUCGCAUAAGUACACUGCCAUGCAGACUGCGUCAAUUCACUUCUGCAGCUGGCAUAAAGCAGCAGCCUAGUCUGGACAGAAGAUCAUGUGGGACUACUAACAUACAGUGUUGGAAGUAAAGGUAUUCAAGAGCAAAAAUGAAAAGGUCUAUGUUGAUUUUUUUUUUUUUUUGCUCAUUGGAAUUCAAUUUUUUACUUUAUAUCAAAUUAAAUGUGUGGUUAGAAGCCAUUCUCUUAUAUUGAUAUUGUUAUGUUUGAUGCAUUAAGAAGGAGAAGAUGACA